GGGGGAAUGUCCCGAGUGGCAAAGGGGGGGGACUGUAAAUCCCCUGCUGUAAUGGCUUCGUAGGUUCGAGUCCUACUUCCCCCACCA
rnacentral:tRNA from 2 species